rnacentral:rRNA from 1 species
UACGAAGGGGGCUAGCGUUGCUCGGAAUCACUGGGUUUAAAGGGUGCGUAGGUGGUCCGUUAAGUCAGUUGUGAAAUCCCCGGGCUCAACCCGGGAAAUGCUUCUGAUACUGGCGGACUUGAGGCCAGUAGGGGUCACUAGAACUGACGGUGGAGCGGUGAAAUGCGUAGAUAUCGUCAGGAAUGCCGGUGGUGAAGACGGGUGACUGGGCUGGUUCUGACACUGAGGCACGAAAGCGUGGGGAGCGAACGGG